GCUCCUAUAAUUAUUAUUUUUCAGACUACGUUUUAAAAAAAAUUAUUAGAAAUAAAUUUACCAUUAAUUCAAAAGCAAUUCUACUAUCAUUUCAAAAACAGAUAUACCAAAUCCAAAUUUACCACCAUUAAUACUUGCAGAAGGAUAUGUUGAACCAAAGUCGGAAAUCUCGCCGGAGACUCAGCCACCAUUCAUGAAGCCCAAGAACCUGUCAGAGAAGAAGAAGAUUUUUUCUAAUAAUUCUCCAAAUUUAAUAAUUAAUCUACCAUGAUAUCAAAUACAAAUCUACCAUCAAUUCAUAAAUAAAUCUAUAAAAAUAUAGUUACAUUACUCAAAAAAACAUCUGAAAGCAAAAACGUAUAUCAGUUAGAAACUCUUUCACCAUAGCCCAUAAACUUGGAGAAAAAGGAAGAAUUUCCCUAUAAAUCAUGAAAAAAUCAAUAAUAAAUCUACCAUCAAUUUACAAUAAAUUUUUUGUCAGUUGAAAAUAAAUAUACACAAAAACAAUCUACCAUUAUUUAAACAGCAAACUGCCACAAUCUAAACACUAAAUCUACCAUCAAUAAAAAAUUAAAAUUUUUAGUUUUUCACCGGAAAAGUUAUUAUCAGAAUUGGUGUGAUGUUAACGUCGCUGGGAAUAAUAAAUCAUCUAAAAAAUCUACUCAAACCAAAUUAAGAUUUCAAUUUGUUGUCAAUAAAUAUCACAAACUCAACUCCUAAUAGAUCCAAAUUAAACUUUACACCCCUUUGCAGAAAAUACCAAAGUUUUACCAAAAAUAAUGUUGGAGACUCGUGUGUAGUAGUGAUGGCAGGAGACCUAUCAGAGAAAAAGAGAAAAAGAAGAAAUAAAUCUACCAAGACACUCAAAUUUAUUUACAAAAUCAUCAAAAAUAAAUCUACCAUCUAAUCAUAAACAAAUACACAAGCAAAGUAUUUAAAAACAAAUCUACCAUCAUACAUUGAAUAAGUUAACCAGCUAGACAUGAUUUCGCCAAACUUCUCUGAAACUUCGCCGAAACAUCAUCCAGGAAGCAUC
rnacentral:lncRNA from 1 species